rnacentral:misc_RNA from 1 species
GAUGAAGAACGUAGCGAAAUGCGAUAAUUAAUGUGAAUUUCAGAAUUCCGUGAAUCAUCGAGUCUUUGAACGCACAUUGCGCCUCAUGGCAUUCCGUGAGGCAUGCCCAUCUCAGCGUUAGAAAAUAUUCUCAAAUUUUAGUUUUGUGCUAAAAUUUGGAUCAUGUCAAGGAAGCUAUUACUAUUAUUGUGAUCGCUCUUUGGAAAUUGAUAGGUCUUUGAGUUGCUACUCAUAGAACGUGAUGAAUCUUUCUUCGUUCUAUUGUAAUUCACUCUGGUAGUCCUAAAACUUGUAUGCCUGUGGCAUAUCUUGUAAUUUGACCUGAGAUUGGGUAGGGAUACCCGCUGAACUUAAGCAUAUCAAUAAGCGGAGGA